rnacentral:lncRNA from 1 species
AAUUCCUCUAGAACAUCUGGUGUUUAGCAUGAGGGCUGGUGUCUCAGAGAGUUUUACUCAAUGGCUGCUCCACCUUCUCCUUUAGGUCUUUUCUUUGUGCUGUACAUCAGAGAAGGGAUUAAGGCAGCCCAACUGAGACAGAAUGUGGUCAGAUGCCAAACGACAAAACUAGCCCAAACCAAAAAGAUCCAAGAUGGCGAUGGAAUGCUAUACACAGAAAGAGAUGUGUGCAGAAGGUGCCAUGUGCAAGAAGGGGGAACUGUGCAUGCCCCAAGACAAAGCUUCUUCUAUGCAUAUUCAUCCCCUACCCCAAAUAAAAGGUACAUACUCCCUUCACUCAGAGGGCCACAGCUUUCUGAAACUAUUCCCUGUGGUCUCCAUUUUAUUUGCUGUGUGC